rnacentral:rRNA from 1 species
GACAACUCUAGAGAUAGAGCGUUCCCCUUCGGGGGACAGAGUGACAGGUGGUGCAUGGUUGUCGUCAGCUCGUGUCGUGAGAUGUUGGGUUAAGUCCCGCAACGAGCGCAACCCUUGAUCUUAGUUGCCAGCAUUUAGUUGGGCACUCUAAGGUGACUGCCGGUGACAAACCGGAGGAAGGUGGGGAUGACGUCAAAUCAUCAUGCCCCUUAUGACCUGGGCUACACACGUGCUACAAUGGAUGGUACAAAGGGCUGCAAGACCGCGAGGUCAAGCCAAUCCCAUAAAACCAUUCUCAGUUCGGAUUGUAGGCUGCAACUCGCC